CUCCCGCCGCAUCGCAUAUAUUCAAGAAAACCCUAAAACCCCAAUAUUCCACCAUAAAUACACACUACCAGUUUAUUCCAAAAUGCAAUCGACGAGCAAUUUGCAGAUUAUGAAGAAAACAAUCAAUUUAAGUCCUUUUAGGGCAUCCUCAUUGGAGGUCUGUAAAUGAGUUGGGACUUCGUGACUUGAGUUGCUUAACAAUAAAAUUCGCCUGACAAAGGGUUUAAGCUUGAACUAUUUAAGUUCGGUAUGCUAAAUUUAAAUUAAAUUGAGAGCUUUGUUAAGUUUGGUUUGUCGCCGGUCUGGGACGGUGGAGGACUAACCUCCAUACCAUGCAGCCUAAAAUUAAGUUUAUUUAAUAAACGAGCCUUAGUCCGAGCUUUACUUAUCAA